rnacentral:rRNA from 1 species
GACGAACGCUGGCGGCAUGCCUAACACAUGCAAGUCGAACGGUAAGGCUUCCUUCGGGAAGUACACGAGUGGCGAACGGGUGAGUAACACGUGGGUAACCUACCCUUGACUGGGGGACAACCGAGGGAAACUUCGGCUAAUACCGCAUAACGUGCAUUGCCUCAAGGUGGUGUAACAAAGCUCCGGCGGUUAAGGAUGGGCCCGCGGCAGAUUAGCUUGUUGGUGAGGUAACGGCUUACCAAGGCGACGAUCUGUAGCUGGUCUGAGAGGACGAUCAGCCACACUGGAACUGAGACACGGUCCAGACUCCUACGGGAGGCAGCAGUGGGGAAUCUUGCGCAAUGGGCGAAAGCCUGACGCAGCCAUGCCGCGUGAAUGAUGAAGGUCUUAGGAUUGUAAAAUUCUUUCACCGGGGACGAUAAUGACGGUACCCGGAGAAGAAGCCCCGGCUAACUUCGUGCCAGCCGCCGCCGUAA